AACGAACGCUGGCGGCGUGCCUAAUACAUGCAAGUUGAGCGCUGAAGGUUGGUACUUGUACCGACUCGGUGAGCGACGAACGGGUGAGUAACGCGUGGGGACUCUGCCUUUGAGCGGGGGACAAGAUUUGGAGACGAAUGCUAAUACCGCAUAAGAGCUUUAAACACAGGGUUUAAGUUUGAAAGAUGCAAUUGCUUCACUCAAGUCUGAUCACGCGUUGUAUUAGCUAGUUGGUGAGGUAAAGGCUCACCAAGGAGAUGAUACAGAGCCGAACUGGGGAGGGGGACGGCCACCACGGGAAUGGGAACAGGGCCCAACUCCUACGGGAGGCAGCAGUAGGGAAUCUUCGGCCAUGGAGGAAAGUCUGACCGAGAAACGCCGGGGGAUGGAAGAAGGGUUUCGGAUCGGAAAAGUCUGUUGGUAGAGAAGAACGUUGGGGAGAGUGGAAAGCUCAUCAAGUGACGGUAACUACACAGAAAGGGACGGCUAACUACGUG
rnacentral:rRNA from 1 species